AUCAAAACAACGUAAACUACCUCCAACUUGGUCAAUUAAAGUCCCACCAUGCACCUUCAAUCCAAGUUCCAGACCAAACCAACCCCUUAAAUCACAGUCUGUUAAGAGCUAAAAAUGUGUUAAAUUCAAUUGUAGUUGGUGUUUGGUGGAAGAUUUUUUGCUGUCUCUUCCUUCUGCUUCUUAUUAGUUUGCACAAGCAAUUGAA
rnacentral:misc_RNA from 1 species